UGUUUGUUGUUCGAGAGCUCCGUAUGCUCUCAACGUAGAUUCGAGGCGAAUGCACGCAAUGCUGGGAAGCUAACAGGAAACUGUGGCACGAGGCCGGUUUUUCUUCGUCGCCUCGGCUAAUCGAUCGAAGAGCAUUUUUCUACAUCUACGACUCUCUUCGAUCCGUCUAUCCUCGAUCAACGCACGGAUCCCACAUAUGCAUAUACGUAUGUACCACACGUACACACACUUUUAUUCCACCACCUUUCCGCGCGAUGGCUAUUCGCGUUGAUAGUUAAAAAUAAACCAGCUACUCGGUGUUAACGCGUAGCAAAUCUUCGCGUUGUUUAGCAGCGAGUCGGAGCACUUGAUUAUAUCAUCACCGAUCGAACACAAAACUUAACAACGACGACGAGAAGUCGAAGAAGCAAGAAUAAAUGUCAUUGUUUCCGGCGCGUUGGUACCAUCGAAGCGCAAGUUUGCGACGCGCGACAACGCUACUCCACUGGUGUCAUUAUUCAUCGCGCAUACUCCCGCCGUUCUGGUCCGACACGUCGACGCGUGAUUUACAGCUCCGAACGGAUAUCGCGAUUCUGCUGCGCGAAAAAGGCUCUCUUCUUUCUGAUCGUAGUCAAAGCACGUCGAACCAAGUGGAAAAGAGCGAACGAGAAAAAGAGAGGAAGGUGAGUCGUUGUCCCAGGUAUCGGAGCUCGCACGACACACGGAUACGGAGCAAAGGAGUUGCUGCUGUUCACACCGCACUCCUCUGCUAACUGGCAGCGGAGGCGCCUUUGCACGAGAAGCAACGCGCUCGCGCGUUCGCGAUCUAUCUUCCAACAGUACACACGAGCGAACGGAAAGGAGUGUGAGGGAGAUACGAGCGAUGGCAGAGUUCCGCGCACUAAUCACCACUUAAUUGGCCGAGACCGACGCGGCAGGUCGUGCCAUUACGGCUAAUUGACUGAAUGCUUCGGCGCUACCGCCAGACGGCCAGGAUAUAUUUUCACGCGCGCGCCUCACAGCCGACGGAGUCGAAACGAACGAGCGUGCGAGUGAGCGAACGGGCAGGCGGGCGGGCAAACGAGUAAGACAACGGUCGACCGACCGACCAACAAGCAACCAGACAGAGAUAACGAAAGAUGGGGAGGACAGGGUGAAAAAGAGGAGCAGGAGGGAGGGCAAAAUGAAACAGAGAGGGAGACGGGUAACUAACGAAAGAGAGAAGGAGAGAGGAGAGGGUUGAGAGUGGAGACGCUUUUAAAACGCGUCGGUAUCGCUGUCCUUUGUCCGUGACACACGUUGCGCGUGCGCUCACGUUUUCCACACCGACCAACCGACCGUGCAAGCAAGCGAACGAACGCGACGCGGAUCGGUUACGCACCGUACCAGAGAAAAUCCAUCGUUAACGAACCGCUCGUUCUCUCUCACACGUGGAGCACCAGCGAAUCGACCGGUCGACGCAACAGCAACCGUGGCUGCUACUAGACUGAAGACCCGAGAACCGAGUCGCGCGUUCGACGCGGUUCGUUCGUCUUCGUGUACCUUGCUCCCCACUACCGACGGACCACUAGAUCGUACGGUUACUGUACUUUGAGUAAGAUCGCCCGAUUCGCGCCAAAGAGUGGGGUAAGAGCGCACGACGAAACGGAGCACGGCUGCUUUUUCGGCAGCCCAUCGCAACUAUACAACCAACCACGCGUUAUUACAUGCGUGUUUGCGAAUCUUUUUACGAGGCGGGAAUCGCCUUCCUUGCCUUUUACGAACGAUCCUUGUUUUCGCUCAUCUCGCGUACUCUUCGAAAUCGUGAUCGCUUAUCGAUAAUUGACGCGCGACUGGUGUCGCUUACCGAUCCCGUCUCACCACCGCAUCAAAUUCUUUCCAACUUUCUCUUCGAAUCGAACUCGAACUCGACACUCUUGACUCGAUAUCCAUUCGAGUUAAAAACAAAUGGAAAAUUCAAUGAAAUUUCAAGAAAAAGUAAAACUACCAAUCCUGUAUUUGUUGGCUACGUUCCGUUUCCUUUCUUUCCGUUCUCUUGCGUAACCGUAUAUCCACCUCAGGGUAAUAGGGAAGAAGAGGGCACGUAUACCUAACAUCUCUCUCUCUUUCUUCCUUUCAGUUCAUCUCGCUCGCUCUUUGAAAGCCAUCUGGCGCUGAAACGGCACGCGCUGCGAAACCAGCAAGCCGCUAGGUUUUCCCUCCCUUCCAUCGCCUAGUCACCGAUCCACCCACCCUCUCUCUCUCUCUCUCUCUCGCGCCCUCUAGCACCCACUAACCCUCCGCUUGAAAUCCAACCACUUCGUCGAGUCUAACCGUACCACGACCAUCAUCCCCUCCCACGCUACGUUAACGCGUAACUCGCUCACGUUAGACGAGCGGAACUUUGUAAACGCGGGAGGUGCGAACAAGGGGGUGAUAAACGGAAGUGGAUACGUUGGCUUCGUAAAUAAUUCCACCGCUUCGAUACGCGGUUCGAUUGCCGUGACACGUACGCCGCACCAGCCGCGAGCUUUUACUAUCGCUAUUAUCGGUGUCUCGACUCCCGAUAAUGUGUACAUCGAGGUUACUCUUCCAGUGCAGAAAUGCAUAGCGCGUUCAUUUGAAUUUUUACGUUCGAAUUUCAUGCAAAUUCGAUUUCAAGCCGUGUGAAAUAUUUCGAAUCGAUUUAUUCGGUGGCGAACAGAGGUUUGCGCAAAACACGGGUGCAACGAUCUGAAAGCUCGUUACGGGGUAAGGAAACCCUAGACGCGACCGCUUCGAAGCCAAAGUUCAACGCAAUUUCGUCGCUUUUCUCCGUGCACGAUCACCCUUGUUUAUUUCUUGAUCCUUUAGAAAAUUAUCCGACCCGUAAAACACAGCUCGUGGUUACGUAAAAGCAAGUUUAGUCGGGUGAUUCGAAAAUUUACAACGCUACCUUGUUCGUUACUACGAUCCAUGGUGUCGAUAUCGACAAUUACGGCCAAGGCUAAAAUUUAAAACGGCUUAACGCUGGCUAACGAAUAAUUAACUUGGUGAUGCAUUAUACGGACCAGCGGUAUCGCGAUGCAUUCAUCCCUCAGCCUGUUCCCACCACCACCGACGACGACAUUUCCUAUUCGACGCGUAAUUAAUCUCCCCUCUCAACGUGGCACCAAACACGGGGCACCGACCACUGGGAACAAUCACGAGGAAGCAACUACGAUCGGAGAGCCGUGGAUAUCGAAACGCUGACCCAAUCAAGUUUAUCAUCGACCCAAUAACAGACAAACAUAUUCACAAUUCGCAAUUUUUUUUAUCUCGAUCAGACCUACGCGCCCUUGAAAUUUCACCACAAUUAUUUUCGGCACCCUGUAUACGUAUAACGAAUCAUAUUUUCAUUUCGGCAGCAACAAGUAUCCGCACGCGCGAGAAUCGAACUCUCUACUCGCGUAGUUCGGGACGAGAGAAAAGUCAACACGACGUUGAAUUUUGUGAUUGCAAAAGGUUUGGGGCACGUCGAGAAAAGAAGAUAUCGAAUACAAGCGACGAGAAGAAAGUAGGAAAGGCGGGAGGGAAAGGAAAAGAAGGCAGCGAACAGCGAACAGUUAGGAUCCGGAGUCAGAGAACCCAACAGGCGGCUGUCUGUCGAGCAAAAUCAAUGCGUGCCGGCGACAGGGAACUUCCACCCCCUCUCGCCAUCCUUCUUCCCCUUUCUGCACCACUGCUCUCUAACGCUUUAUCUCUUUCUACUUACUCGUGUGCCAUGACCAACCCUCUUCGUUCGCUUAUUCCCUCCUCUUCUCUUUCUGUCUUCCGUUCGUUCGUUCGUUCCCUGCUGCGUGAACCUCCGACGUACAAACGCGGACGGCUGUGCUCACCCUUACCACCUUCGCCCUUCACCCUUCACCCUUUACCCUCGCGCGCCAAACUACCACGUUCGCGUACCAUCACUAUCCCCCAAAGGCACACAGCCCUCGGAGGCUAAUAAGCCAUAUUAUUUUUAUCACGGACCAACGACGCCGAUUUCACGUGUGUCGUUAACGAUCCGACGCCUCGCAAUCUUUUCCAAUCAAUAUCUACGGUUUCUAAAAACUCUUUUUAAAGGAUUACACAACGAUCUCGCGCAGCUGCGAAACAUUUCUAAGCUUGACCUGUGAUACCGAUAAACAAAGUCGUUAAAUUAUUUUAUUAGUAUUCUUUUUCUUAGGAGGAGAAAAAAAAGGUAAGAUGAAAUGUUAAUGUCAAGGAUGAAACCAGUGUUUUAUCGUCUAAAAGCGGCGUUCAAAAGGAGAAGUCGAACGUUACGGUGGUGAAAAGAGUGGGCCGAAAAGGACGGAGAACGAGCUUUACGUUAGCUGCAUCAGUAAGCAGAAAAGAGAGCGUAACUAGAAUGUUACUCGAAACGAAACGAACCGUGGAGGUGGCCGCGAGUGCUGGCAAAAGCUACUCUACACGCCAGUCGCUGGUUAAUUAUUCACGCGAGCCAACAGAGAGACCGCGAGGAGAGCAUUAAGAGGGACCGCGUGUACAAGACUAAAACGGGAAGAAACGAUCGAUAGCGAAGGAAAAACAAAUGCUUUCUAAUGGGCUUUGUUUUGGCAAAGAAGACACGCGAUGAUAGAAGACGAAAUUGUUCGAAUCGAGAACUGGCACCGAUUUCAGGAUAGAAAAGAAAGUUGGAAGUCGAGCCUUUUGGCUGCACGCCUGCCGAGAAUACGUGAGCAACCCCGAGCGAGAAAAGCAGUCGAUAACGUUGAUAUCGAUCACCAAAGGAAGAGGAAAACGAGCCUUUUGCCCCUCUCCCUCUGAUUACUUUCCCGUCGAUAUAGCAAAGAAAGCUCGCGUAAAGGAUAAAAGUCACCUAAGCAGAUAAGGACACUAAUGUUGAAAAAUAUUUGCUUUAGUAUAGUUUUAUGAAAAUGUAAUCAAUACAUUAAAUAAACGAUCGCUGCAGUAUACGUA